rnacentral:rRNA from 1 species
ACGGGUGAGUAACGCGUGGGAACGUGCCUUUCGGUUCGGAAUAACUCAGGGAAACUUGAGCUAAUACCGGAUACGCCCUUCGGGGGAAAGAUUUAUUGCCGAAAGAUCGGCCCGCGUCCGAUUAGCUAGUUGGUGAGGUAACGGCCCACCAAGGCGACGAUCGGUAGCUGGUCUGAGAGGAUGAUCAGCCACACUGGGACUGAGACACGGCCCAGACUCCUACGGGAGGCAGCAGUGGGGAAUAUUGGACAAUGGGCGCAAGCCUGAUCCAGCCAUGCCGCGUGAGUGAUGAAGGCCCUAGGGUUGUAAAGCUCUUUCGCCAGGGACGAUAAUGACGGUACCUGGAUAAGAAGCCCCGGCUAACUUCGUGCCAGCAGCCGCGGUAAUACGAAGGGGGCUAGCGUUGUUCGGAAUCACUGGGCGUAAAGCGCACGUAGGCGGAUCUUUAAGUCAGGGGUGAAAUCCCGAGGCUCAACCUCGGAACUGCCUUUGAUACUGGAGGUCUAGAGUCCGGGAGAGGUGAGUGGAACUGCGAGU